ACCCAGGCAGGUUCGGCGGCACCUUCGGCGGCCGAAAGUCUCAGACAGAGACAAAAGUCUCUUUUCGGGGGCAGGCUUCGGCAGCCGAAAGGCUUGCCUCCCCAGCCAUGUUCGGCGGCCGAAAGUCCUUCGGCUGCCGAACCUGGUUUCUGCCAAAGGGCAGAAACUUGGCUCCUUUAUGCACAUUUGCCUCCAAAACUUCCAAUCAUGCAUAAACUUAUUCUACAACACAC
rnacentral:lncRNA from 1 species